UACGUAGGGUGCAAGCGUUGUCCGGAUUUAUUGGGCGUAAAGAGCUCGUAGGCGGUCAGUCGCGUCGAUCGUGAAAGCCCGAGGCUCAACCUCGGAAUUGCGGUCGAUACGGGCUGACUAGAGUUUGGUAGGGGAGACUGGAAUUCCUGGUGUAGCGGUGAAAUGCGCAGAUAUCAGGAGGAACACCGAUGGCGAAGGCAGAUCUCUGGGCCGUAACUGACGCUGAGGAGCGAAAGCAUGGGGAGCGAACAGG
rnacentral:rRNA from 1 species